rnacentral:tRNA from 1 species
UAUAGCUCAGUGGUAGAGUGCUUGCCUCACAUGCAUGAGGGUAUGGGUUUGAUUCUCAGUA